GGUUAAGCGACUAAGCGUACACGGUGGAUGCCCUGGCAGUCAGAGGCGAUGAAGGACGUGCUAAUCUGCGAUAAGCGUCGGUAAGGUGGUAUGAACCGUUAUAACCGGCGAUUUCCGAAUGGGGAAACCCAGUGUGUUUCGACACACUAUCAUUAACUGAAUCCAUAGGUUAAUGAGGCGAACCGGGGGAACUGAAACAUCUAAGUACCCCGAGGAAAAGAAAUCAACCGAGAUUCCCCCAGUAGCGGCGAGCGAACGGGGAGCAGCCCAGAGCCUGAAUCAGUGUGUGUGUUAGUGGAAGCGUCUGGAAAGGCGCGCGAUACAGGGUGACAGCCCCGUACACAAAAAUGCACAUGCUGUGAGCUCGAUGAGUAGGGCGGGACACGUGGUAUCCUGUCUGAAUAUGGGGGGACCAUCCUCCAAGGCUAAAUACUCCUGACUGACCGAUAGUGAACCAGUACCGUGAGGGAAAGGCGAAAAGAACCCCGGCGAGGGGAGUGAAAAAGAACCUGAAACCGUGUACGUACAAGCAGUGGGAGCACGCUUAGGCGUGUGACUGCGUACCUUUUGUAUAAUGGGUCAGCGACUUAUAUUCUGUAGCAAGGUUAACCGAAUAGGGGAGCCGAAGGGAAACCGAGUCUUAACUGGGCGUUAAGUUGCAGGGUAUAGACCCGAAACCCGGUGAUCUAGCCAUGGGCAGGUUGAAGGUUGGGUAACACUAACUGGAGGACCGAACCGACUAAUGUUGAAAAAUUAGCGGAUGACUUGUGGCUGGGGGUGAAAGGCCAAUCAAACCGGGAGAUAGCUGGUUCUCCCCGAAAGCUAUUUAGGUAGCGCCUCGUGAAUUCAUCUCCGGGGGUAGAGCACUGUUUCGGCAAGGGGGUCAUCCCGACUUACCAACCCGAUGCAAACUGCGAAUACCGGAGAAUGUUAUCACGGGAGACACACGGCGGGUGCUAACGUCCGUCGUGAAGAGGGAAACAACCCAGACCGCCAGCUAAGGUCCCAAAGUCAUGGUUAAGUGGGAAACGAUGUGGGAAGGCCCAGACAGCCAGGAUGUUGGCUUAGAAGCAGCCAUCAUUUAAAGAAAGCGUAAUAGCUCACUGGUCGAGUCGGCCUGCGCGGAAGAUGUAACGGGGCUAAACCAUGCACCGAAGCUGCGGCAGCGACGCUUAUGCGUUGUUGGGUAGGGGAGCGUUCUGUAAGCCUGCGAAGGUGUGCUGUGAGGCAUGCUGGAGGUAUCAGAAGUGCGAAUGCUGACAUAAGUAACGAUAAAGCGGGUGAAAAGCCCGCUCACCGGAAGACCAAGGGUUCCUGUCCAACGUUAAUCGGGGCAGGGUGAGUCGACCCCUAAGGCGAGGCCGAAAGGCGUAGUCGAUGGGAAACAGGUUAAUAUUCCUGUACUUGGUGUUACUGCGAAGGGGGGACGGAGAAGGCUAUGUUGGCCGGGCGACGGUUGUCCCGGUUUAAGCGUGUAGGCUGGUUUUCCAGGCAAAUCCGGAAAAUCAAGGCUGAGGCGUGAUGACGAGGCACUACGGUGCUGAAGCAACAAAUGCCCUGCUUCCAGGAAAAGCCUCUAAGCAUCAGGUAACAUCAAAUCGUACCCCAAACCGACACAGGUGGUCAGGUAGAGAAUACCAAGGCGCUUGAGAGAACUCGGGUGAAGGAACUAGGCAAAAUGGUGCCGUAACUUCGGGAGAAGGCACGCUGAUAUGUAGGUGAAGUCCCUCGCGGAUGGAGCUGAAAUCAGUCGAAGAUACCAGCUGGCUGCAACUGUUUAUUAAAAACACAGCACUGUGCAAACACGAAAGUGGACGUAUACGGUGUGACGCCUGCCCGGUGCCGGAAGGUUAAUUGAUGGGGUCAGCGCAAGCGAAGCUCUUGAUCGAAGCCCCGGUAAACGGCGGCCGUAACUAUAACGGUCCUAAGGUAGCGAAAUUCCUUGUCGGGUAAGUUCCGACCUGCACGAAUGGCGUAAUGAUGGCCAGGCUGUCUCCACCCGAGACUCAGUGAAAUUGAACUCGCUGUGAAGAUGCAGUGUACCCGCGGCAAGACGGAAAGACCCCGUGAACCUUUACUAUAGCUUGACACUGAACAUUGAGCCUUGAUGUGUAGGAUAGGUGGGAGGCUUUGAAGUGUGGACGCCAGUCUGCAUGGAGCCGACCUUGAAAUACCACCCUUUAAUGUUUGAUGUUCUAACGUUGACCCGUAAUCCGGGUUGCGGACAGUGUCUGGUGGGUAGUUUGACUGGGGCGGUCUCCUCCUAAAGAGUAACGGAGGAGCACGAAGGUUGGCUAAUCCUGGUCGGACAUCAGGAGGUUAGUGCAAUGGCAUAAGCCAGCUUGACUGCGAGCGUGACGGCGCGAGCAGGUGCGAAAGCAGGUCAUAGUGAUCCGGUGGUUCUGAAUGGAAGGGCCAUCGCUCAACGGAUAAAAGGUACUCCGGGGAUAACAGGCUGAUACCGCCCAAGAGUUCAUAUCGACGGCGGUGUUUGGCACCUCGAUGUCGGCUCAUCACAUCCUGGGGCUGAAGUAGGUCCCAAGGGUAUGGCUGUUCGCCAUUUAAAGUGGUACGCGAGCUGGGUUUAGAACGUCGUGAGACAGUUCGGUCCCUAUCUGCCGUGGGCGCUGGAGAACUGAGGGGGGCUGCUCCUAGUACGAGAGGACCGGAGUGGACGCAUCACUGGUGUUCGGGUUGUCAUGCCAAUGGCACUGCCCGGUAGCUAAAUGCGGAAGAGAUAAGUGCUGAAAGCAUCUAAGCACGAAACUUGCCCCGAGAUGAGUUCUCCCUGACUCCUUGAGAGUCCUGAAGGAACGUUGAAGACGACGACGUUGAUAGGCCGGGUGUGUAAGCGCAGCGAUGCGUUGAGCUAACCGGUACUAAUGAACCGUGAGGCUUAACCUU
rnacentral:rRNA from 1 species